rnacentral:rRNA from 1 species
GAUGAAUGCUGGCGGCGCGCCUAACACAUGCAAGUCGAGCGGUGACAUGGACUUCGGUCUGAUGACGAGCGGCGGACGGCUGAGUAACGCGUGGGAACAUGCCCCAAAGUGAGGAAUAACUGCCCGAAAGGGUGGCUAAUGCCGCAUAUGAUCUUCGGAUUAAAGGAUUUAUCCGCUUUGGGAGUGGCCUGCGUACGAUUAGGUAGUUGGUGAGGUAAUGGCUCACCAAGCCUACGAUCGUUAACUGGCCUGAGAGGAUGAUCAGUCAGACUGGAACUGAGACACGGUCCAGACUCCUACGGGAGGCAGCAGUGAGGAAUCUUCCACAAUGGGCGAAAGCCUGAUGGAGCGACGCCGCGUGCAGGAUGAAGGCCUUCGGGUUGUAAACUGCUUUUAUAAGUGAAGAAUAUGACGGUAACUUAUGAAUAAGCACCGGCUAACUACGUGCCAGCAGCCGCGGUAA